rnacentral:tRNA from 1 species
GGGGAUUUAGCUCAGUGGUAUAAGCACCUGCCUGACAGGCAUGAGAUUAUGGAGUUCAAUCCCCA